GGACUUUUGGUUCGACUCACGUUAAAUAUCAGCUGGCUAACGCCAUAUUAGCUUGUUAUCUUAAUGUUCACCUAUUUAUCAUUGUAAAUUAAAAACUCAUUACCCAGAUGCAUUUGUAGAUAUCAGCAAUGGAAGAGGGUGAAAGGAUUUUCUGCUCCAGCUGUCAGAAAAGGACAACUAUGAAGACAGACAGAGAUAAUAGUCAGGGCUGUCUAAUUGGAAUAUAAUGAAGCUUGUUUCUUUGCAAUGUCUGUCCUCAGAUAUGGAGAGCUGUGAAAGCCUGUCUACAGAUGAAGAGGUCCCAGUGUAGAUGAAGAGGUCCCAAGAGACUGUCUGCAGAUGGAGAGGUCCCAGUGAAGGUCCAAGAGAUUGUCUGCAGAUGAAGACGUCCCAGUGAAGGUCCCAAGAGACUGUCUACAGAUGAAGAGGUCCCAGUGAAGAUGAAAAGGUCCCAAGAGACUGUCUGCAGAUGAAGAGGUCCCAGUGAAGGUCCCAAGAGACUGUCUGCAGAUGAAGAGGUCCCAGUGAAGCUCCCAAGAGACUGUCUACAGAUGAAGAGGUCCCAGUGAAGAUGAAGAGGUCCCAAGAGACUGUCUGCAGAUGAAGAGGUCCCAGUGAAGGUCCAAGAGACUGUCUGCAGAUGAAUAGGUCCCAGUGAAGGUCCCAAGAGACUGUCUGCAGAUGGAGAGGUCCCAGUGAAGGUCCCAAGAGACUGCAGCCACAUCCUUGUAUGCCAUAGGAUUUGUGUGUACUUAUGUUAGCACAUGUUGUACUCAACAAUACAGUUCAAAUUCACACACAAUGUAGGCUACAAACGUAUUAAAUCAAAUCAAAAGUUUAUUUGUCACGUGCGCCGAAUACAACAGGACCUUACAGUGAAAUGCUUACUUACAGGCUCUAACCAAUAGUGCGAAAAAAAGGAUGUGUGUGUGUGUAGGUAAGUAAAGAAAUAAAACAACAGUAAAAAGAAAUUUGAAAAUAAGAGUAGCAAGGCUAUAUACAGACACCUGUUAGUCAGGCUUAUUGAGGUAGUAUGUACAUGUAGGGAUGGUUAAAGUGACUAUGCAUAUAUGAUGAACAGAGUGUAGCAGUAGCGUAAAAAGAGGGGUUGGCGGAUGGUGGGACACAAUACAGAUAGCCCUGUUAGCCAAUGUGUGGGAGCACUGCUUGGUCGGGCCAAUUGAGGGAGUAUGCACAUGAAUGUAUAGUUAAAGUGACUAUGCAUAUAAGAUAAACAGAGAGUAGCAG
ensembl:lncRNA